AAACAGGGAGGGGGUUUGAGCUGGAAAAUAUGGUGUAGAAACCAACUAGGGCGCAAGGCUCAAUGUGGCUUUCAACUUGGAAUCAGAAGAUACAUGAGCAAUUAACGGGUCUGGGAUGGAAUGUGAGCCAAAUUUCAUAUGAGAGAAAAGUUCAAGAGCUACGUGUUCAUGCUGUCAUCUGAAACUCACGUGUUUCACAUGCCUAAGUGUCCAGUUCAAAAGAAAUCACCGGCGGCGGCGGAGCCUAAACGACUAAAACAUUAUACCAAACUUUUCAUUUUAAUACCCUGAGUACUAGUCCAUGAUCAAUUUUCCAAAAUUCUUUAUCAAUUAAACAAACACGGUCGAUUCACAUAAGAACCCUAACUAGAAAUUUUAAAAAUUAAACUCCAAUCAUCUGGAAUCAAAGCCCUAGGGGUUGAGGCUUUGAUUCCCCAAUCUUAUACCUACAUUCUGGUAACUAACUCGGUGCAAAUGGAGGGAAAAACUUGAAAACUCACCGGCGGAGAAGAUGCGGAGGGAAACAAUAUUCAGGGCUAGUUUGAGUGGAGUGCAAGCCUUGGUGCUUGGAAUCAAGAUGUUUGGAAUGCACAUGAAGAAAAAAAAAGCUUACUUACAAGUGAAGUUAUGCCAUGAAGUUGAAAGAAAAGCACGAGGAAACCAAAUGGAAACUAGGAAUUAGGUUUGAUGAUUAGAUGAGUUGAUUUGGUCAACUGGGUGACCAAAAAGUCAACAGUUGACCAAGUCAAUUAUAGGUAAAAAUUCAGUUUUUGUAAUUUCUUUGUAUGAACAUUAUAUGGACAUUGUAACAUGAUAUGUGUGAAUGUAAUUAAAGUUCUAUUUGAAUGUAAUUAAAGUUUUAUUUGAA